rnacentral:misc_RNA from 1 species
GUACCCUCCAGCCCUGCUGGGUGUUGGGCGUUUGUUCCGCUGCGCGCGUGAACUCGCCUCAAAUGCAUUGGCAGCCCGCCGUCCCGUGUGGGAGCGCAGCACAUUUUGCGCUCUCCACGGCUGACGGUGGCAUCCACAAGUCUACAUUUUUAC